rnacentral:lncRNA from 1 species
CCAAAUUUGACAGCCAUUUAACACUCAAAUUCACCAAAAUUACCAAAAACACACAAGAACGUGAGUUGACAAAACUGAAAAGUUACAUGUGAAUGGUACAAAUGUCAAUAAAUAUAGAGUUUCCUCGUUAACUGACCUUUUGAUCCAGAUACAUGCUCCUGGAGGCCAUUGACAGGGAAAGUAACAACAGGUAUAUCUAGACUGCUCCCUUCUGUAUCAGGGGAAACCUCUCUUACAUCAGCUAUCGUUGCCUCUGUUGUCUGAAUAUCACCCAAAUUUGACAGCCAUUUAACACUCAAAUUCACCAAAAUUACCAAAAACACACAAGAACGUGAGUUGACAAAACUGAAAAGUUACAUGUGAAUGGUACAAAUGUCAAUAAAUAUCUCCUCGUUAACUGACCUUUUGAUCCAGAUCCAUGCUCCUGGAGGCCAUUGACAGGGAAAGUAACAACAGGUAUAUCUAGACUGCUCCCUUCUGUAUCAGGGGAAACCUCUCUUACAUCAGCUAUCGUUGCCUCUGUUGUCUGAAUAUCACCCAAAUUUGACAGCCAUUUAACACUCAAAUUCACCAAAAUUACCAAAAACACACAAGAACGUGAGUUGACAAAACUGAAAAGUUACAUGUGAAUGGUAUAAAUGUCAAUAAAUAUAGAGUUUCCUCGUUAACUG